rnacentral:pre_miRNA from 1 species
CCCUUAACUAUUAAAAGUUUCGUUUUGGUCACUUAACUUAUUUUUUGGUUUCGUUUUGGUCCCUUAACUCUUCCUCCGUCAACCACUUUGGUCUUUUAUGUUAGGAUGAAUGUAUUAGAGUUAAGGACCAAAACGAAAUCAAAAAAUAAGUUAAGUGACCAAAAUGAAACCAAAAAAUAAGUUAAGGGACCAAAACGAAACUUUUAAUAGUUAAGGGACCAAAACAAAACUAAAAAAUAAGUUAAGGGACCAAAACGAAACUUUUAAUAGUUAAGGGA